rnacentral:tRNA from 1 species
GCCUAGCUAGCUCAAUCGGCAGAGCGUGAGACUCUUAAUCUCAAGGUUGGGGGUUCGACCCCCCCGUUGGGCU